GACGAACCGUGCGAACGUUAUUCGGAAUCACUGGGCUUAAAGGGCGCGUAGACGGACGACCACGUCGAUGGCUGAAAGCCCCCGGCUCAACCGGGGAACGGGCCUCGAUACGGGUCGUCUUGAGUGGAGGAGGGGGACCUGGAACUUCCGGUGGAGCGGUGAAAUGCGUUGAGAUCGGAAGGAACGCCGGUGGCGAAAGCGAGGUCCUGGACUCCGACUGACGUUGAGGCGCGAAAGCGUGGGGAGCAAACAGG
rnacentral:rRNA from 1 species